UACGAAGGGGGCUAGCGUUGCUCGGAUUGACUGGGCGUAAAGGGCGCGUAGGCGGUUUGUACAGUCAGACGUGAAAUUCCUGGGCUCAACCUGGGGGGCUGCGUUUGAUACGUGCGAGCUUGAGUUCGGAAGAGGGUCGUGGAAUUCCCAGUGUAGAGGUGAAAUUCGUAGAUAUUGGGAAGAACGCCGGUGGCGAAGGCGGCGACCUGGUCCGAUACUGACGCUGAGGCGCGAAAGCGUGGGGAGCAAACAGG
rnacentral:rRNA from 1 species